GCAAGAGCAUUCAAAUAGAAGCUUUUCAUGUUUUCAAGUUGUUUGCUGCAAAACAGAAUAAGCCUCCUGACAUCGUUAGCAUACUUGUUGCAAAUAAAAGCAAGCUUAUACGAUUGUUUGAGGAUUUGAAGACUAAUAAAGAGGAUGAACAGUUUGAGGCAGAUAAGGCUCAGGUCGUCAAAGAAAUCGCCGCCCUUGAGCUUAAAGAUUGCCCAUAGUGAACUCUAGUCUAUUGCAAUCUCUCUCUUUUCCUCUUAUUUUUCUCCUGUUUGAAUAACUAACACAAAUUGACUUCAUCAUAUAGUGAUUUGUCGUCCUUUCGGAAGGGCGUGUGAUUUGUUAAAAGGAAAAAGAAAAUAAACGAAAGGGUUCUUCAUUUGUGAUCUCUUUCC